rnacentral:rRNA from 1 species
CCUACGGGAGGCAGCAGUGGGGAAUUUUCCGCAAUGGGCGAAAGCCUGACGGAGCAAUACCGCGUGAGGGAGGAAGGCUCUUGGGUUGUAAACCUCUUUUCUCAGGGAAGAUAAUGACGGUACCUGAGGAAUAAGCAUCGGCUAACUCCGUGCCAGCAGCCGCGGUAAUACGGAGGAUGCAAGCGUUAUCCGGAAUGAUUGGGCGUAAAGCGUCCGCAGGUGGUUUUGAAAGUCUGCUGUUAAAGCGUGCGGCUUAACCGCAUAAGGGCAGUGGAAACUAUGAGACUAGAGUGCGUUAGGGGCAGAGGGAAUUCCCAGUGUAGCGGUGAAAUGCGUAGAGAUUGGGAAGAACACCGGUGGCGAAGGCGCUCUGCUAUACCGUAACUGACACUGAGGGACGAAAGCUAGGGGAGCGAAUGGGAUUAGAUACCCCAGUAGUCCUAGCCGUAAACGAUGGAUACUAGGCGUUGUCUGUAUCGACCCGGACAGUGCCGUAGCUAACGCGUUAAGUAUCCCGCCUGGGGAGUACGCAGGCAACUGUGAAACUCAAAUGAAUUGACGGCUGGAGACGUGCCGACGACGACGACGAGGGAGUAG